UUUAUUGCACAAUGGGGGCAACCCUCAUGCAGCGACGCCGCGUGAGAGAUGACGGCCUUCGGGUUGUAAACCUCUGUCAGUUGGGAAGAAGCCCCUUUUUGGGCUCACGCUACCAUCAGAGGAAGCACCGGCUAACUACGUGCAAGCAGCCGCGGUAAUACGUGGGGUGCUAGCGUUAUCCUGAAUUAUUGGGCGUAAAGAGAUCGUAGGCGGUUUGUCGCGUCUGCUGUGAAAGCCCAGGGCUUAACACUGGGUUUGCAGUGGGUACGGGCAGGCUGGAGUGCAGUAGGGGAGACUGGAAUUCCUGGUGUAGCGGUGAAAUGCGCAGAUAUCAGGAGGAACACCGAUGGCGAAGGCAGGUCUCUGGGCUGUUACUGACGCUGAGGAGCGAAAGCAUGGGGAGCGAAC
rnacentral:rRNA from 1 species